AUCCUUUUGUAGUUCAUAAGCAGGAUGAUUGGGUUUUCACGAGCGUGCGUGAGAUGUGCCUCCCUCAAUGCUUGUUACGAAGUUGGCACAUUCCUUGUCUAACA